rnacentral:tRNA from 1 species
GGUCGUUUAGCUCAGCUGAGAGCACCUCCCUUACAAGGAGGGGGUCACUGGUUCGAUCCCAGUAACGACCACCA